AUGCAAAGAUUGAAGGCAAACCUGGAACAUGCACAAAGCAGAAUCAAGCAUUUUGCUGACCAAAAGAGAACAGAGAGGCAACUGGAAGUAGGUGAAUUGGUAUUUCUCAAAAUACAACCCUACAGACAAAAUGCUUUUGGUUUGAGAGGAUCUCUGAAGCAAAGGUCAAAAUUUUAUGGCCCUUACAAAAUUCUGGAACGAAUUGGGCAAGUUUCCUACAAGCUACAGUUACCGGAAGGAACAAAUAUACAUCCGGUGUUUCACAUUAGCCAACUGAAAAAACACAUUGGUCACAGGGCUAUACCACUGCCCCAUGUGCCACUAGUUACACCGGAAGGUAUGUCAAGACAAUUCCCGUGGCAGUGUUAG
rnacentral:rRNA from 1 species